UUUUAUCAUUUAUGUAGGAUGGCAUAAUUGUAAUUAGAAGAACUUGACCUUUAUAAAUAGAAGUUGUUUUGUGUGGGCAAUAAAUAGGAGCGUUUUUAGACUUGUAUUUGUUUUCUCUUAAGAUAUUUUCGUCCAUCCAAAUCUUGCCCUGCAGCUAUAUCCUGGAAUGGCGCCCACGUGAUGUUCAGCCAUUUUAUUGUUCUUCAUGUUAUUCUCCAUAUUUCCCAGUUCUUUCCACUGUUACUGCUGAAAUCAGUAACUACCCCCUUUGGUCUGUAUUAUUUUGGUAUCAGAGCCCUUGCAUCCUUCCGUUUGUCUUUCUUUCCCUUGCAUCCUUCCAUUUGUCUUUCUUUCCCACAUGUUGUUGUCUUUUCUUUCCAAAAUUUAUGUUCUUCCAAUUCGACUUUCUUGUCUGUUGUGGUUUCAGGUUGCAGCCCCUUUUGCUGUGUUUUGAGGUGAGGUUUCAGCUUCUUGGAACUAACAAACCAGCUAUAUUCUUGAUCUUUCUCGCUGAAACCUAGUUUCAAAAGAGGACUGUUUUUGUCUUCUUGUUCUUCAUGGCAGUGCUGCUCCUGCAUUCUCUACUUCCUCUCCUCUACAACUUUCCAAAGAAACAUCACCCAAGAACGUGUCAAGAACCAAUCAAGAAGUGUACAUGGAGGAUCUUUUGCAUUAAAUACAACGUAUGCAAGAGAGGCAUAUAGCCUUGGAGCAGAAAAGUACGAAGGAACACUUAGUGAUAAAUGAUUUCGAGAUAAUGGGUGAAGAAGGGAAUGAAAUUCAUUUCAUCAAGAAGCCUCAUGUUCCCAUGGAUUUCUAAGAUUCAAUGUUGGAAUCACCGUCAAUGCCCGUGUACAAUGCGUAUGACGAUGACUAAUUUUUGGCCUCUAAUCAUGGAUAUGCGCUGAAAAAAGACUGGUUUUUUGGAGUGAAAAUUGUGAAUAUAUAGUUGACACACGAGCUGAUGGUGAAGAUUCUCGUGCUAUAAGGGAUUAGCUGAGUGAUCAAACUAGACGAUAUGUUGAUUCUGCUUCUCUCAGCCAUCAGCAUCAGACCAAUAUACAAGAUCAUAUGGAUCAGGCAUCAUUGCUUCGACAACAACCAAAAUUGAAAGCCCAGUCAAUGCUCAAUAUAAGGGAAUCUUGCCAACCAUGGGAGAAUGAUGUGGGAGCUAAAAUUUCAUUUCAGUUUAUGUAUUUUAGUUUGGUAUUUGAGUCUUUAUAUUUUAGGAUGACAUACUUAUAACUAGGAGAGUCUAACUAUUAUAAAUUGGGGUUGUUUUGCGUGGGCAAAAUACAAAAGAGUUUUUAGACUUCUGUUUGUUUUCUCAUGGGAUAUCUCUGUCCAUCCAAAUCUUGCCUUGUAGUUGUUUCCUAGAUUGACACCCAAGUAGUGUUUACCCAUUAUCUUAUUAAUUAUUUUUUUGAGUUAUUUCCACUGCUCUUGCUGAAAUUAGUAACUACCCAAUUUGAUCAUUAUUACUCUUGGUAUGCACUCCCCCGCCCCCACACCAACCCAACACCCGUGUACAAAAUUUGGGUUUAUCGACGAUGUCAAAAAAAAAAAAGUAUUAAAAACUGUAUAUGGGAGUGUUUAGAUAACUGUGGCUAGGUGUUCUACUGUUGCCCCAACAAGAAAGACAUGCAUAUUUCUUGCACAAAAAUCUAUAGCACAAAAUCUUCCCGUCACAUCAACAAAAACAAAUGUGACUACUUAUUUUUGGCGGCUCUAAUCUUUUACUGACAUAGCGCCAAAAAAAAAAAAAAGGCAUGUAUAGAUCUUCUAGCCGCUAUGCUAGAAAAAUCGUGUAUGGUAUUCUCCUGCAUGAGAAAACAUAGAAGCGAAGUGGGAUUUCCAUGCCAAGUUGGAAAAAUGUAUGCAAAUGCUUUAGUGUCGGACGAGCUUUACAAAUUUCAAUAUAUCUGCACAUGAGGUAUGUCGAAGAGACAACGGUGAAUGUCCAGUGAGUGAUGAGGAUAAAAGGGAUAAAAUGAUAAAGAUGGAAAAAGAGAGAAAGAGGAGAGAGAGAAAGGAAUAAGAGGGGUUGCUUCAUAGUAGGAUUGAAGCAGGGUUAACGUCAAACUCUGAGAGGAAAAAAUGGGGGAGACACAGCACACGACCUGACUUUGUGAGGGUCCUUUGGCCCUCACAGAAGAGGAGGGCAUCAUAUGGCAAAGUGGAAUGAUGCAUGCAAAUACUUUAGUGUCGGACGAGCUUUAUGAAUUUCAUUAUAUCUGCACAUGAGGAUAAAAGGGAUAAAGUGAGAAAGUUAGAAAGAGAGAGAAAGAGGAGAAGGAGAAAGAAAUGAGAUGGGUUGCUUAUAGUAGGAUUGAAGCAGGAUUAACUUAAAACUCUGAGGAAAAAAUGGGGGAAACGCUGCACAGGACCUGACUUUGUGAGGGUCCUUUGGCCCUCGCCCAGGGAAUGUCUGAGUACAAAAGAGGAAGGUUUGGUAUGACAAAGUGAGUUCGGCAAAUAUUUAUAUUUUUCAUUUUGAUUUUUUUUUAAUUGCCAUAAACAAAUGCCCAUCAAUAAAUAUGGUUCACACUUGUAGCAAACCGUGUUUGUUAUAGUUUAAUUGAAUAUGUGGAUAUUCAUUUUGGAUGCUAACUGAGAAUUCAAUCAUGCAGACCUUUCAAAAUAUACUCGGAUGUCAACAUAAACAUGAUCUGAACUUUGGCUUUUGAACUUAGGCAUACAGAUAUAUUUUGUAGACCAUCUUUUUUAUCUUUCUGCAUUUAUAUACAUCUCUUUUCCUCUUAUAUGUUGUUUUCCCUCAUCAUAUGUAUAGAACAUGUUUAUUAUAGUAGAUCUGAUGGAAUUUCGCACAGUGUGCUGAUGAAGAGGUGAAUUGGGCCAUGAUAGAAAGGCAAAAAUCUUCUAGGCGUUGCUGAAGUUGAUGGUAGACUUCAGCAACAUAAAAAGAUAUUCAAAGAUCAAAGCAUCUAUGUGACUCCUUUACUCCAUCUUUUAUUCUUCCAUCCUAUGAGCUCAACCUUUCCAUUAAUAUAGAUCAUAUAGAAUGGGGGCUGCUAUUAAGUUACAAAGUUGAGAAUACAACCAAUUGGAGAAUAUUGUUCGCCAUGUAGCUAUGAGAUAAGAAACAUCUUGUAGCAAGCAACAGAUGCGGUUGAACAAAUCAAGCAAUCCAGACAUGCAAGCCAAGGCUUUACAGCAUGAGAAUGAGAGUAACGCAAGGGCUAGUGAAAGUGAGAGUGAGAGUAAGAGAGAGGAAGAGGGAGAGGGAGGGAGAAAGAAGACCGGGCCUUGAGAACAAGUGCAAAUAUGGGAAAGGAGAAGCGCAACUUGUGCGAUGGGGACUCAACAAGAAAAAAAAUUUAAAUUUGAUUUUUUUUAGUUGAGGUCAACAACGCUAAUAAGUGGCAUAAAUGCUAAUGAUGAUGAUAAUAAUAAGAUGUAUCAACUAAAAUAACAUUAGAAAAUCAAACUAAAUUA